ensembl:lncRNA
CGAACAAUGUCAUUCCAUUCAGCAGGCAAUGCUGCAGUCAACUUUACACCACCGGAGAAGAAGACACGGCCGCUUGUGCAUCAUCCCUGCAAGACCCGGAGGUGAGUGGAGGUUUUUGCUGCUGAAGCCCUAAAGCAGAGGGCGCCGUGCAGACCAACAAGAACAUGCCUUGACUUGUACCGGCUUGUCAGGAGGGAGUUAAGGCUUGUGGUCAGCACCAGCAACUGUAUUGUUCUCAUCUAAAUGACCAGUGAAAGAUGACAACUGCAUACUAUCGACUGGAGAAUAUAUGGAUAUUGGGACAGACUGGGCUGAGAAUCUCGGCAGGGAUAUCCUCUCUCUGGAAGAUCCCUGACUUCACCUCCUCUGAUGACAUGACCCCUGAGAGAGACAAAAGAAACGUAUCCAGAUGUCCUGGAGAAGAUGAGAGACCCUGUGUCAGCAGUAAGGAAACCUCUCACCUACCUUCAUCUCUUGGAAAGCAAAAGCAGAACAAAGGCUUAUUCUUUAAGGGGAAAUCUACCUCUGUCCCUUGGCUGUCAUACAAGUACUGUGUGUGGACAUUCCACGAGCAGAGUAUUAAAGUGUCCAGAGCUGACCUGCAGGAGACGGCAGAGUCAUAUACUGGAAGCCUUUACAGUCACCGACAGCUGAUGGUGAUGGAAGGGAAGAGAGCGAGUGAGGGAUGAGGGCUGCUGCUGUGAGUGGUUCUUUGGCAGUGUCUUAGCUGGUUGUUGUGUGGAGUGAGAACGAAGCAAUCAGCAAGUAUACUGCCGCAGAAACUCGUCACCUUGAGAGGCCCAUCCAUCCGACCCCGCUCAUACACUCGACUGCCCACCCGCACUCAGAGGCUGGAGAGAGACAGGAAAAGAGAAACCUUAGUCUGUGCUCAUUAUCAAGCUUCUCUACCCAUUCAUUCUUCUUCUAAUUGUGAGUGUCAGCUUUUGUUUAAUGGCACCGCUGCUUAAACACUUACAGCGACUUGAGUGUUUCAAGUGAAAGAUUGGUUCAUGCUUACAGUAUGUUUACUCUUAUUUUCUAUGACAUUGCUGACUUAGUUUAGAUCAGUCUGUUCCCUUUCUUUCUUCUUCCAUGAGAUCAAGAGUGAAUCAUUCAAGUGUUAUUGUGAAUAUCAGCUGACCAGAUUUCACAGUUUCAGUAAUGGUAUGACUUGGCCUAUAUUUAGCUUACAGUCUGAUGACAUAUGCAUACUGUGUUCUGUGUAUGUAUAAACUUAAUCGUGGACCAAAACAUUAAUCAUAUGAUAAACCAAAAAUAAUAUUUAUUUACAUUUCACUUAUAUACUAAAAUUAGAGAGAAUAUACAUGUGAAAGAAAGAAAUACAGUGGGUAAGGAAAGUAUUCAGACCCCCUUAAAUUUUUCACUUUCACCCUAAUACUUAGGACCAUGUGAUAUUUCAGUUUUUCUUUUUUAAUAAAUCUGCAAAAAUGUAAACAAUUCUGUGUUUUUCUGUGAAUAUGGGGUGCUGUGUGUACAUUAAUGAGCAAAAAAAAAAAAUGAACUUAAAUGAUUUUAGCAAAUGGCUGCAAUAUAACAAAGAGUGAAAAAUUUAAGGGGGUCUGAAUACUUUCCGUACCCACUGUAUAUAAAAUUCACUUCAUUCAAAAAUAAAAUUACAAUUUUUGUAUUUUGUAAAUUUUUAUUUUUUGUAAUAUUUUUGUAUCAAGUAAUAUUUCUUUUAAAAAUAAGAUUAAAACUAUAUAUACUAAAAAAUAUAUAUAUAGAAAAAUUCUAUAUAAAUGCAUUUUUAAAAUUCUAAUAACAAUAAAAACAUUCUUAUUAUUGUCGUGUUAUUUUUCUGUUUCUGGCAUAUGGUUAGUCUUUAAAGCAGUUUUAAGUUGAGUUUCAUUUUCAGGGAAUUUCAUUAGUGUGUGGGUUUCGGUUGUUGAUCUUCAAAAGGGCAGUUUUAUUCAGGUGAAUGAAAUGCCUGUAACUCACUUGAGGUUUUCAUGUAAUCACAUCAGUGUGGCAGUAAGUUUGAACUUGUCUAGAAAGCUGGAAAUCAAUUUAGUAAGGUCUUUCACAAUGUAUUAAAGUAAUUGUUUUAAUCAUAACCUAAAAGUGUGCUUAUAAUACUGUGAAAUGGAGUGUAACUUAAUAUCACAAACAUAUUGUAUUUUAAAAGGUAUGUUAUAUGUGUGUGUGUGUGUGUGUGUGUGUGUGUGUGUGUGUGUGUGUGUGUGUGUGUGUGUGUGUGUGUGUAAAAGAGUAAUUAUAGCAAAUGAACUGUUUGAAUAUUUGUCCUAUAGGCCACUUACUACACUGGAUCUAAAUGGACAAUGGCAAUAAAAAAAUGUAUGCACAAAACAAUGUGCAUGAUAAAUGCCCAACUCCCA